CGCGGGGUGGAGCAGUUCGGUAGCUCGUCGGGCUCAUAACCCGAGGGUCGCAGGUUCAAAUCCUGCCCCCGCAACCA
rnacentral:tRNA from 1 species